rnacentral:rRNA from 1 species
GUUUGAUCAUGGCUCAGAUUGAACGCUGGCGGCAGGCCUAACACAUGCAAGUCGAACGGUAACAGGAAGAAGCUUGCUUCUUUGCUGACGAGUGGCGGACGGGGGAGUAAUGUCUGGGAAACUGCCUGAUGGAGGGGGAUAACUACUGGAAACGGUAGCUAAUACCGCAUAACGUCGCAAGACCAAAGAGGGGGACCUUCGGGCCUCUUGCCAUCGGAUGUGCCCAGAUGGGAUUAGCUUGUUGGUGGGGUAACGGCUCACCAAGGCGACGAUCCCUAGCUGGUCUGAGAGGAUGACCAGCCACACUGGAACUGAGACACGGUCCAGACUCCUACGGGAGGCAGCAGUGGGGAAUAUUGCACAAUGGGCGCAAGCCUGAUGCAGCCAUGCCGCGUGUAUGAAGAAGGCCUUCGGGUUGUAAAGUACUUUCAGC